rnacentral:lncRNA from 1 species
UUUCAAUGAAAUACAUAUUCUGCAAUUGUGGCACUUUGUAUUGUGCGUGGCACUUUGCACCAUGCAUGGCACUUUACGGCACUUUGACCCUCAAGAGGUGGCCCAUGCAUAGUCUCAAGAGGUGGCCCACACAACUUCAAGAGGUGGUCCCCAAUGCAAAAUCUCAUAGAACAAAAAUUUCAUUUGUUAAAAUCCACUUUCUCAUUCAUAGAAAAAUCAAUGCUUUUUCAUACUUAUGCCAAUGAACCAUCACACAUACAUAUGCCCAUAUACAUAAUCAUGUUCAACACAUACCAACACAUCACAUAGACACAUGGGCAGAGACAUCUAAAUCCAUAUUCGUAUAUGUAUCAAAAUAGGCUUUUCACACAAGUCAAACAUAUAUAGAAUAAGUUAAUAAUUGUCAUAUCUUGUAUUUGUUUAAGGUGUUGGAGGUGAUUGAGGCUCUUAGAGGCAUAGAGGUGUGUUAAUUCAAAUUCUUUUGUCGAGGUAAGUAACUUCAUUCCUAGUAUACUGGAUAUGUACAAGUAUUUUGAGAAAAUAAUUCAAACCUCCAAUAUAAUAGGCAGCGGAAUAAUCUGAAAAUUUGGCCAAACCAUCUAUCAUCCUCAAUUCAAGUCUACCUUCUCACUCAUUAUGAAUCAUUCCUGACUUCUGGAAACCAAAUCAUAAUAAACUAUAAUGAGUAUAAAACUCAGUAAGCAAACUAGUUUUUCUUAUAUCAAAAUACAUCCAUACUUAUACAUAAUGCAAUUGGAUGAUAUGUCAUGAUCUUUUAGAAAUAUUGUAAAACAAAUUCAUAAAAACCUCUUUCUAUCGCUUUCAAACUUUCUCAUUUUCUUUCAAUGAAAUACAUAUUCUGCAAUUGUGGCACUUUGUAUUGUGCGUGGCACUUUGCACCAUGCAUGGCACUUUACGGCACUUUGACCCUCAAGAGGUGGCCCCCGCAUAGUCUCAAGAGGUGGCCCCCAAUGCAAAAUCUCAUAGAACAUAAAUUCCAUUUAUUAAAAUCCACUUUCUCAUUCAUAGAAAACUCAAUGCUUUUUCAUGCUUAUGCCAAUGAACAAUCACACAUACAUAUGCCAAUAUACAUAAUCACGCUCAACACAUACCAACACAUCACAUAAACACAUGGGCAGAGACAUCUAAAUCCAUAUUCGUAUAUGUAUCAAAAUAGGCUUUUCACACAAGUCAAACAUAUAUAGAAUAAGUUAAUAAUUGUCAUAUCUUGUAUUUGUUUAAGGUGUUGGAGGUGAUUGAGGCUCUUAGAGGCAUAGAGGUGUGUUAAUUCAAAUUCUUUUGUCGAGGUAAGUAACUUCAUUCCUAGUAUACUGGAUAUGUACAAGUAUUUUGAUAUUAUUAUUAUAAGUAUAAAUGUUUUUAUACUACUUAAAAGAUUAAUGGAUUUUCAUAACAAAAUUAACUUAUGAAAAUGUUUUCAAAACCUAAAUUCUUUUUAACAAAGUAUUUUAUAAAUGCUUUUAAAUAUGUAAAUUAUUUAUGACAUGACUACCUUUUAUGGUUUUAUCUAUAAAAUAAUUUGCAAGCCUAAAUUGUUGUUAUGGACAUUUAUGAAAUUGAUACGAAUGUUUUUGUGCUUAUGAAUGUUUUUGUCCUUAUGAAUAUUUUCAAUUAUUUAUGAUUGUACGGGGGCCACCUCUUGGGACUAUAUGGGGGCCACCUCUUGGGACUAUAUGGGGACCACCUCUUGAAGGCUAAAGCAUCGCAAAGUGCCACAUACAGUGCAAAGUGCCACGUAUAAGUCAUUAUGUUUUGGCUCAUUGUCCGUAGUUAUUCUGAUUAUGAUUCUGAUCGUAUAAUACGAUAUAUGUUUGUUCUGGACCAGUACUGGGUUUUUGUUAUGAGUGUGCAUAUGAUAUUCUGAUUCUGUUUCUGGCCGGGUCACCGGUACUAUAGGUGACACUAUGUGACAUGAGCUAACCUUUUGUUUUCUGUGAAUGUGAUAUAUGAUUUGCUUUCGUAAGUAACUAUGCUUUUGAUAUUCUGAAUUACAAUGAAUUUAUGUUAUUUUAUCAUGAUAUAUCGUUUUAUGAAAUUUAUGGAUUAUGAUAUAUGUUUUAAUUAAAGGAAGGCUUGCAAUAUUUUUGGUAUCGAUAGGCUUAGUGAGUUAGGAAUGGUUUUACUUACCGAGUUGACGGCUCACCCCUCGUCAUUACUUUUUGUAGAUUAAGUUCCAUUUGAGAGGUGUGCUUAGCUUUGGAGUUAGAGAUUUUGUUUAUGUUUGCUGUUUGAAUAAGAAGAGGAAUAGACUCACGUUUUUUUUUAGUUUAUUUCUGUUAUGAACUUGUAAUUUGGAGUUUGAGACUUUUGUUAUUGCUAUGUUUCGGGAGAGAUUAUUUAGUGUUAGACGUAUGAAUUUGUGGAUUUAUUUGAAUAAGAAUUUGAGGUAUUUUCAGUUUGGAAUUUAUGAGUAAGGAUUACGAUUUGUAAGUAACCUCCUUCUUUACGUGCUCCGCACGUGUUAGAUUUGUAACACCCCAGCCCGAACGCCGAGGGCAAAUCCGACCACAACUCACAUGUGAAUUUAAAUAACCCUUUACAAAUCUUCUCACUCAUUAUGAAUCAUUCCUGACUUCUGGAAACCAAAUCAUAAUAAACUAUAAUGAGUAUAAAACUCAGUAAGCAAACUAGUUUUUCUUAUAUCAAAAUACAUCCAUACUUAUACAUAAUGCAAUUGGAUGAUAUGUCAUGAUCUUUUAGAAAUAUUGUAAAACAAAUUCAUAAAAACCUCUUUCUAUCGCUUUCAAACUUUCUCAUUUUCUUUCAAUGAAAUACAUAUUCUGCAAUUGUGGCACUUUGUAUUGUGCGUGGCACUUUGCACCAUGCAUGGCACUUUACGGCACUUUGACCCUCAAGAGGUGGCCCCCGCAUAGUCUCAAGAGGUGGCCCCCAAUGCAAAAUCUCAUAGAACAUAAAUUCCAUUUAUUAAAAUCCACUUUCUCAUUCAUAGAAAACUCAAUGCUUUUUCAUGCUUAUGCCAAUGAACAAUCACACAUACAUAUGCCAAUAUACAUAAUCACGCUCAACACAUACCAACACAUCACAUAAACACAUGGGCAGAGACAUCUAAAUCCAUAUUCGUAUAUGUAUCAAAAUAGGCUUUUCACACAAGUCAAACAUAUAUAUUGUUUAUUGUGAUUCGUUUUAAAGUCUAGUUUACUUAC